rnacentral:lncRNA from 1 species
CUCUCUCUCUCUCUCUCUCUCUCUCUCUCCCGCGCAGCUGAACCCCCUCCCCCGUUUCAAUUUUUCGCCAGAUUUCAGACGGCGAGAACUUCGCCGUCCGACCUCCGUUUGAGGCGCCGUUUCUUGCAAAAGCUUGAUCUCUUCCUCCUCUACCCAGCCCACCCCUUUUCUCCGAUCGAAAACCCAGCAAACGGCGGUGGCGACGACGUGAAAA